AUGCAGAAGGGACAUCCAGUAGCAUUCCUGAGCAAGGCUUUAGGGACUAAAAAUUGAGGGCUAUCAACCUAUGAAAAGGGGUGUCUCGCUAUACCAGUAGAUAAAUGGCGAUCAUACCUGAUGCACCAGGAGUUUGUUAUCCGAACAGAUCAACAAAGUCUCACUCAUUUAGAGGACCAACGACUUUCUACCGCAUGGCAGCAGAAGGCUAUGACAAAAAUGAUGGGGCUUCAAUAUAGAAUCGCUUACAAAAAAGGGCAGGACAAUAGGGUAGCCGACGCACUAUCAAGACGCAUCCACACCACCCUAGAAAUAGUGUAUGUCAUUUCUACUUGUGUUCCCAGUUGA
rnacentral:rRNA from 1 species